AGCUUUGCGCAGUGGCAGUAUCGUAGCCAAUGAGGUUUAUCCGAGGCGCGAUUAUUGCUAAUUAAAUCAUGGAAAGUUACAUAUAGAUAAAGAUAUGGAUAUGGACAUAGAUAUAAAUAUAU
rnacentral:snRNA from 1 species